GCUUCAUGCUGGAUUUUGGAGAAACUGCUCGCCUUCCGGAGGGGAGGGAGAUCCGGUGUGGCGGAAUGUUUUCUUCCUGCAAGUUUAAGUGUUUGAUAUUAUUGCCUGGAGCUGCUUGGUACAGGUUUCUUCUGGUUAUAAAUAAUUCUACAGGUUGUGAAAAGAAGAGGUGUUGCUUUCAAGAAAGAGAAGGGCUGAGGAGGGUGUAGAAAAGGCGUUGUUUAAGAUGACAAACCACUAUCUGGCCUGAUAUUGACAAGAUACAUGAUACUCUAUUGCCAUUACUUCAGAAAAUGGUUUUGUAACACCAAUGUGUCUGUCAUUGAAUGAUCUCGCUCAAUUGGUUAGCAAAUUUGAGGUUA